GAUGAACGCUGGCGGCGUGCCUAAUACAUGCAAGUCGAGCGAACGGACGAGAAGCUUGCUUCUCUGAUGUUAGCGGCGGACGGGUGAGUAACACGUGGAUAACCUACCUAUAAGACUGGGAUAACUUCGGGAAACCGGAGCUAAUACCGGAUAAUAUUUUGAACCGCAUGGUUCAAAAGUGAAAGACGGUCUUGCUGGCACUUAUAGAUGGAUCCGCGCUGCAUUAGCUAGUUGGGAAGGUAACGGCUUACCAAGGCAACGAUGCAUAGCCGACGGGGGAGGGUGAGCGGCCACACGGGAACUGAGACACGGUCCAGACUCCUACGGGAGGCAGCAGUAGGGAAUCUUCCGCAAUGGGCGAAAGCCUGACGGAGCAACGCCGCGUGAGUGAUGAAGGUCCUCGGAUCGUAAAACUCUGUUAUUAGGGAAGAACAUAUGUGUAAGUAACUGUGCACAUCUUGACGGUACCUAAUCAGAAAGCCACGGCUAACUACGUG
rnacentral:rRNA from 1 species